rnacentral:lncRNA from 1 species
ACUACGAGCUAUUAAAAGGUCUUUUAGUGCAAAACUUAUCAUGUUGGAGCUUCUUUGUACAUAUAUAGAGAGGAUGCAACUCAGCUGGGGAGAGAGUCCUCUGAGAGGAUUACUAGUUUGUACAAGACAGCUAUGAUAGCAGUGAGAGACAGUAAUGUCCUCAAAAGAUUCCUGAUGUUAAGUACUUAGGGCAUCCUGCCUCUUUGCUGUGUCCUGGGAAAAAUAAAAUCCAGGGUCCAAGCACAGCUCCAGCUGAUCAUAUGACAAGGCAAUAUAACAUGUAGACCAGGUGUUGAGUUUGCUGGCUAGAUGCUAUAUCUCCUGAGCUGUGAAGAUGGAAUUGGACCAAAUUUGUAUGCCCAGCAGCAUUUAGUGAGGUGACAUCAGGCUUCUGAGAUCUCAGCACAGCAGAGCUGACCGGUGAAUCAGGAAAGAGCUGCAGUACAGAAAGGCACCUGUACAACUGCUGAUCUGUAAUGAACAAAAGACAGAUCCAUACAAACGUAACUACUGUACAUCUGAGGCUAAAUUAAUGUCAGAACAUGUUAGUCACAUUGCUGUUGCAUCAUUGUAAUAAAUUACAUAUUGCAGAUCCUUUUGCCUCAAUUGUUUUGCAUUAGUAUAAGCUGCCUGUUUUUACAGGCUCUGGAAUAUGUUUCCUAGAGAAGCACGUUGUCAGAGGAAUGUGGUGGAGUUACAGACUUUCCCCAGAAUCACCUAGUAGCAGUCUCCACACUGUCCUCAAAGCAGAGAACUCUUGCAAGUUUCAUGUCAGAGACUUCUUUAAUAAUCAAAGAGAGUGAGGUCUAUACAGAGAGGUUCAGCUGCUCUGUGCCACCUGGCUGUGCCAUGCCUCUCCUUUCUGCCCUGCUACAGCUGGAGAGAGAGACCCUGCAGCUGCAGUGUGACUGUGCCUUGCUGUGCUGGGACAGUCUUUACCAGCAGAAUCUUCUUCCAAGCCUUCCAAGUUUCUCUGACUACAAGCAACCUUUGGGGAGAGAGUUACUAUCCACAGCAGAGGAAGAUCAAAUUAGGAAAUACUCAAAUGAAGAAUGA